GCUAAGCCUUUGUACCUCUUCAAACCAUAUUGAAAUAACCACCUCUUUCCAAUUUGCAAUUAUGUCUGUGUUGACAUGAGCUCAUGCUUCUCAUCCUCCAACUUCUCUUCUUUUUCCUUUUUGGUGGCAGUGGGAUGUGUGUAUAGUCCAGUGGUUGACCUUCAAAACUGGGAUAUCGUCCUGUCUACCCUCACCUCUUAUGAU
rnacentral:misc_RNA from 1 species